rnacentral:rRNA from 1 species
CAGCCGCCGCGGUAAAACGUAGGUGGCAAGCGUUGUCCGGAAUUAUUGGGCGUAAAGGGCUCGCAGGCGGUUUCUUAAGUCUGAUGUGAAAGCCCCCGGCUCAACCGGGGAGGGUCAUUGGAAACUGGGAAACUUGAGUGCAGAAGAGGAGAGUGGAAUUCCACGUGUAGCAGUGAAAUGCGUAGAGAUGUGGAGGAACACCAGUGGCGAAGGCGACUCUCUGGUCUGUAACUGACGCUGAGGAGCGAAAGCGUGGGGAGCGAACAGGAUUAGAUACCCCUGUAGUCCCUGUCUCUUAUAC